ensembl:lncRNA
GUAAGGAGUAUCAUUAGAUAACAAUCGGUUCUCCAGAGCCAAACUACACAAUUUUUCAAGCAUUCGACUGGUAUCUCCUGAGUAGCCCGACCCUAAGGGGUCGUGAAGCUCUCCACCGUCUUGAACUUGUGGUAACGGUUAUUGUGAGCCCAGGAAAGUGUGCUGCUAUGCAGGCUACAGGACUCUUUCCAGAGUUUCUCAGGAAGUCUGGAGAAGGUUGUCUAUUUUCUUGUGCUGCCUUUAGAGGCUUUUGUCACAUUGGGCCCUUGAUGUCAUUGUGCCAGAACUUUUUCCUUCCCCCUUUCUUGUCUUUUUUCAUCCCCUUAGGUUGCUCUGGUCAAUUUAUUUACCUGUCUCCUCCUAGAGUUGUCCCGCAUGUCGGCAUAGGUCUACCAAGGGACACAAAAUGAGAAGUCGUAUUUUGUUUUGAUUUGUUUUUGCAGCCUGUCAGUCAGCCUUCAGAGCUGACUUGCAAGUGUCGUUUUCUGGAGCUAGAAAGCAUGGGCCACAGAGCUGCCCUCACUGCCAACUCACUCAUGCAGCUGUAAACUGGUGCCUGUAGGAUUCCCAACAGGAAGUUCCAGUCCAGCUUCCUUACAAACGCCGGGUGAUCUCCCAUCAGCCAUUGAGCCCUGGCAAUGGCCUAGGAGCCACAUAGGCAUUGUCUGAGGAAAGGACUGUUAAGCUUUUCUGCUUUCCUCUAGCCAGCUGUGCCCCAGUAGCCUUCUUGUUCUAUAGUCAUGCUGUCAGAACAGCUGGGAAGGAUUCCUCUGAGUACUACUGAAAGUGUCUGACCUUUUUGUUUGUUUUUUGAGACUUGGUUUCUCUGUGUAACAGUCCUGGCUGUCCUGGAACUCACUUUGUAGACCAGGCUGGCUUCGAAUUCACAGAGAUCCUCCUGCCUCUGCCUUCCGAGAGCUGGGAUUACAGGUGUGCCCCACCACCACCUGUCGCAAAUGUCUGAUUUUAUAGAUAAGUGAGCUCCAGUAGAGUGUACUGAAUGUUGGGAUAAUUUUUUUGUAUACCAUGUGAAGAUGUGUCUCUGUCCUUCCUCGCUUGUCUAAGGCACUUUCUGAUUGUUUUAAUAAAUAGCUGAUUGGCUAGGCAGGAGAUAAUAGGGAGGACUCCCAGAACUCUGGGAAAGAAUCUGAGGCAUGGGAGAUUGCCUGCCACAUGGGAAGGAAGUAGGGCAUAUGGUAUUGAGUAGAGGUAACCGAGCCACAUGGCAGAACUUGGAUUAAUAUACACAGGUUAAUUUAAGUUUUAAGAGUUACUUGUGAAUAAGCCUAAACUAAGGCCAAAUGUUCAUAAAUAAUAAGUCUCAGUGUCAUUAUUCAGCAGCCGGCAGUCCAAAGAAAGCUCUGCUAUUGAGGGCAUCACACACCUGUGGCAGGCUAGCUUUGAGUUUAUGAGGCGCUGAGAACUUAGAUGUGUCUUCUGUUCUCCACUGAACCUAUCACUAAAUUCUGAGAUUCAUUUUCAUUGUCUGAGGUUCUGUCUGUUGUCCCAAUUAGGGAACCAAAAAUUGCUUUGAAUACAGUAAUAAUAAAGAGAAUUUGAAUAUGUCUUAAAUAUGUUAUAGAUAGAGUGGAAGGGACAAAAGAAUAAGGCUAUUUAUUUGUUUACUUAUUUUUGUGACAGGGUUUCACUAUGUAGUCCUGGCUAUCCUGGAACUCAUUCUGUGGACUAGGCUGACCUUGAACUCACAAAGAUCCGUCUUACCUGUGGCUCAUGGCUUGGAUUAAAGUGAUCUGUCUUGCAUGUAUGCCUGCAGGCCAGAAGAGGGCACCAGAUUUCAUUAUAGAUGAACAACAAGGUGAGCCACCUUGUUGUUUCUGGGAUUUGAACUCAGAACCUCUGGAAGAGCAGCCAGUGCAUUUAACCUCUGAGCCAACCCUCCAGCCCCAAUAAGGCCAUUUUUUAAACUCACAGCUUUAAACCAGAAGAGGAGGAGAGAAAAGACCCUUGCUCUUCUUUGUUUCCUUUGUGCUGAACUUCACCUGUCAAGGCCUGCUUUUCAAAAGAACCAGCCAUAAGUAGCAAACUCUCUUUAUGAACCAGACUUGGUAUCUCACACCUAUAAUCCCAGCACUCAGGAAUCUGAG